rnacentral:rRNA from 1 species
UACGGAGGGUGCAAGCGUUAUCCGGAUUCACUGGGUUUAAAGGGUGCGUAGGUGGGUUGGUAAGUCAGUGGUGAAAUCUCCGAGCUUAACUUGGAAACUGCCAUUGAUACUAUCAGUCUUGAAUACCGUGGAGAUGAGCGGAAUAUGUCAUGUAGCGGUGAAAUGCUUAGAUAUGACAUAGAACACCAAUUGCGAAGGCAGCUCGUUACACGAAUAUUGACACUCAGGCACGAAGGCGUGGGGAUCAAACAGG